rnacentral:lncRNA from 10 species
UGGCAAAGUUGAUCAAAUAAGAAUGAGGGAAAACCAAAGGGAACUGAUGAAUACUUGAAAAAGACAAUUGGAGAAAAAUAUGCUAUUUUCAGUCAUGAAAUAAUAACACUUUCAAUGACUCCCCAUGUCUCAGAUGAUGGGUUGAGGCCUUGCAUACUAUUCAUUCAACCCUUACAGCAGCCUCAAGAAGCCAUGAUUAUUAUUGCUAUUUUAUAGAUUAGAAAACAGCCUUAAAAGAGGUUACAUAAUAUAUUGAAUUUUUUCGGAGUUUGUAAAUGGUGAAGUCAGCACUAGAACCCAAGUCCCUCUGCCUGAUUCUCCUGAAGUGACACUAUGAUAAGAAGCUUCUCUGCACAAGGUCAAGAAACAAGGGCUAAGUAUUUAAAAUAUUUUGGCAUGCAGUGAGCCCAUGUGUUUAGGUAAGGGUAAAAAUAGCAUCAUUCUCAUUUUCUCUUGAUAAGUCUUUAGGUCAUGGAAGAUUUAAAUAUGAAUGCUUUGGGAUUCAGUGGUACUGUGUUUUCUCAUUAAAAAAAAGGAUUGAAUUUCAAGCCAAGGGAUUUCUGGAAAGAAUCAUGCAUGAGAGACAGCGGUAGUACUCUGGAGGUCCCGCCAUAUUGGGACCGGUCCUAAUUGGCAGAAAGAAAGGGAAAGAUUAAUAAUGAAUAUAAUAACAGGGAGAGAUGGAACAAAAAGGGCUCCAUUCUCUUCUCUUUCUAAUCAAGGGCCCUGAUAAAAGACACACAGACACACAGCAAGAGCAUUCCAAGGUUGAAUCAUAGGAUCAAACUUCAUUUCCAAAGCUGCUGUCUUUUAAAAUGUAGGUUCAGAAAAACAAGCCACGAACAAUCACACAAAUUCUCUCAUCUUGGGCGAAAUUUUGAGCCAAACUAAAACAGAAUAUUUUCUAGAAGCUUAUUAAAUGUUUGGCAACAUUAAACAAUCUCUUAUUUGUUAUAAAAUUAUUCUUAAGCUCUCAUAGCUUCAAUGAUACUAAUAGGUCUAAGUAAAGAGACAAAUAUGGAGAGAAAUGUUAAUGAUGACUAUUCAAAUGGACUAAUGUGAAACAAAAGGGCUGGAAAACUUCAAUCACUCUUUUUUGUAUUAUUACAGGUGCCCACUUUGAUGACUUGUUGUACUAGCGCCUUUGAUCUCCAUCAUAGAAAAUGCUCUGCUCCAUUUCAAAAGAGAUUGUCA